AAUAUGCAGACAAAUAAUGAUUCUGAAGACAUGGAGGUGAUAUACACGUUAAUGUGUAAUGUAAUAGGAAAGAUAUCAGGGAAUUUAUAAAAGCUUUUUACAGGCCACUUUAAGAUGGGAAGUGUUUUGAAUUAUGAUGUGCUGAGGUUCUUCAAGUGAAGAUACAUGUUACCAAAGGCUGUGGUAGGUGUAAAGAUGGCAUAAAACAAAGUAGGUGAUGUGAUGGUCUGAGGUGAAAUGACCAGAAACUCCCUUCCUUUGGGAUUUACUUGACCACCCAAGGUUUGCAUUUCCCAACCUUCUCAUGUUUCAGAGCUGCAGGUAAACUUGGCCAUGAAAGCCCUGCUCUUUGUCGUGGAUCUGCUCUGACACAUGGAUGGAACUGUGCUUUGAGCCCGCAAACCUAGGGUCCCACAGAGAAGCCCCAUGGAGAUCCAGGGCAGCCACAAAGAAGCUGAAGAGGGUCCUGAGCUUAGAAGGACAGCGGGAUUUGAACAGGAGCACCAACAGCAGCACUGUCCAUCA
rnacentral:lncRNA from 1 species